AUUGAACGCUGGCGGAAUGCUUUACACAUGCAAGUCGAACGGUAGAGGGGGCAACCCCUCGAGAGUGGCGAACGGGUGAGUAAUAUAUCGGAACGUGCCCAGUCGUGGGGGAUAACGUAGCGAAAGUUACGCUAAUACCGCAUACGAUCUAAGGAUGAAAGCGGGGGAUCGCAAGACCUCGCGCGAUUGGAGCGGCCGAUAUCAGAUUAGGUAGUUGGUGGGGUAAAGGCUCACCAAGCCAACGAUCUGUAGCUGGUCUGAGAGGACGACAAGCCACACUGGAACUGAGACACGGUCCAGACUCCUACGGGAGGCAGCAGUGGGGAAUUUUGGACAAUGGACGCAAGUCUGAUCCUGCCAUUCCGCGUGCAGGAUGAAGGCCCUCGGGUUGUAAACUGCUUUUGUACGGAACGAAAAGGUCUCUCUUAAUACGGGGGGCUCAUGACGGUACCGUAAGAAUAAGCACCGGCUAACUACGUGCCAGCCGCCGCGGUAA
rnacentral:rRNA from 1 species